UGUAAUGGGAGACCAUAAGUGGUGUCUACGGAAGGGGAUGUCAUGUUUAAGAAGGAUAAUCUUGGCAAAGGAAAUUUACUUUUAUGAAUUUCAUUCAUAAAAGGGCAUGUUUAAUUUACUCUAUAGAAGCCAAAAUGCUUUGUCAGGCAGCUACUCUAAGAUGAGAUAGUCAAGUGGUUGGAACCUCCAGUAGAGAAAACCUUUACCCAUGUAUCAUGUCAUCAAUGAAACUUAAGUUUUACAUUAGGCGAACCUGUGGCGCGGUGAAAAGUAUACUGGUCUAAGAGGAGGAAUCUGAGUUGAAGUCCUAGCUCUGCUAUUUAUUCCCUAUGUAACUGGGAUUAAGUCACUUAAACUUUCUGGGUCUCAGAUUUCUUAGCUAUAAAAUGAAGAUAAAACUUGUCCUAUAACACUUAGCUAUUGUGUGUAAAUGAAAUAAUCAUGUGAAUAUACUUGAAAAGUGGUACAUAAAUGAAGAUGUGUGUAUAUGCUCUGAUUUCUAGCUCAUUAUCAGAUAAAUCACAUAGCCCCUCAUUUGGUUUUCCAAGGAUCCUCUGGUCAACAAAAGGUUUGCUGAGAGAUAAAGACUAAUUCCUUCCUUUGUAAAAUUUACAAAAUUGUCCCAAAGCGUUUCUUAGCAAAAAGAGAUGGUAGUUAGUUCACUAUUCACUGUAAAUUCUCUUGAUUUCUAUAGAGUGGCCAUAUUUUACCCAUUUUUCCUUCUAUUCCUUUCACCUUGGAAUCUUCUAUAAUACCGAGGAUUGUUCUAACCACGUGACUCAAAUAGGAUCUGCUAUAAGGACUGAACAGGUGAUUGUAUGUGACAAAAACUAGGUAUCAAAAUUGUUCUCUGCAGUAUGUCAAAUUUGAACCAAGGAGCAGGAGUUCCUUCCUUUAGAUGACAUUUGCUGUUGCUGGAGCAUUAUGAAAAUAGUGGUCUACAAUAGAUAAAAUGCAGCCAACAUACAGAGCGAAUCAAAUGCAGUUGAUGGAAAAAGCUUCUGCAGUGGUGCCUAGAACCACACGUGACUAAAGCCAUAUUCAUCUUCCCUUUCCUGUGAUUUGAUUUACAAACGUAUACGUUCUUCUAGCCUUAAUCUCACUGAUGUCAAUUUCCACCAUUUACAAAUUUUAAAAAAGUCCAUCACACAUUAUGAGUUGUAUUUUAUUUUAGUGGACACUUACUUGCUGUUGUAUUUUGAGCAAGUAUGGUAAUUUUAAAACAUGGCCCCAAAAUAUUUUGACAUUCCUUUCAUCAAAAGAUAGCUUUUAUGUCCCUUUCCCUGAAGUCUUGGUGGGCUUCUAAUUACUUCAACCGAUAGAGUAUGGAGGAAGCGAUGCUGUGUAAUUCCUGAUGCUGCUCAGAAGGGUCAGGUCAUUUCUACUUGAUCUUGUGCAACACUUUAUCUGGAGAGGCUGUCCAUCAUAUAAGAAGUAGGGCUAUCUUAAGACCACCAUGCUAUAGAGGCUACAUGUAGGUAUUCUGGUCAACAGUCCCCUGAGAGGUCCCAGUUGACAGCCAGUCACAUCUGCCAGUCAUUAAGUGAACCAUCUUGAAAGUCCAGCCCAGUCUAGACUUCCAAGGACUGAAGACCCAGUGGCUACUACCAACAAAUUGACUAUGAGUGAGAACUGCAAGUUCUUUUCCUGACCAAAUACUCUGGGUGACAUAGAAAAAAGAAAAACAAAGUUCUUUAAAAUCCCUAAGUUUGGAGGCAAAUUCUUAUGCAGAGUGACAAGUUACUUAAAAGCUUUGAGGAUUUUGGAGAUCAUCUAUAAAAUUGAGGUAACAUUCCUCUUUAGAGUCAAUUUAAGAAAUUAAUGAGAUGGAACCUGAAAGGUACCUCACAGUGUAUCUCUCUGUCACGGACUCUCAAUAAAUAUCCCUCUCCUUACCUUCCUCCCAGUGAGAUUAUCUAAAUAAAAGGGAUUUUAUAGACUGUAGGAAGUUUUUCCAAUAUUUAUUAUUGUCUUCCUGGACCCAUUGUCCAAAAAAUAUAUUCCCAGAAAACCCAGUCAGUCACUGGUCUGAGGCAUACUCAGAAGCUUUCUCUUAUUGUUGGAUCAUUUAUCCAUAGCCUUUCUUCAGUGUCCACAAGUUCUUAGUGACCAUCAUGUUUACACUAAUGUUCCAUUUCUUUCUUCUGUAGGGAGUACUUAAAGACAGAGAUGAUGUUUUGCAAAAUAAUCAUUUAGUUCUAUAAGUAGAUCAACAAGUCAUAAAUGCUUGUUGAAGUUCAAGGGUAGAUAUUUGAAUUUUCCAUGGUAGGAGUAAAUCAUGUACCUCAUUAGAAUCAAGAACAUGGUUGUUUUGUUCCCUACAUGCUGUCUUCUUGUUCUACCAGUUUAUGAUAAUUUUGUUUUGUUUUGUUUGUUUUUGUGUAAAGUGAUGUCAAAAGAAGCUAUCAUGAUUUCUCUUUGCUAUCAAGUUAAAAGGAGAAGGGUUCAAGGCUUCUGAUGAGAAAAUCACAUCAGCCAGAGAAACUGACAGUAAUCGGAACAACUCCUUUCUCAAGUAAAAAAAGCCUUAGAUUUUAAAAAGAAAAAGAAAUGAGAAAGAAUGUAUGUAAGUAGACAAAGAUAAUGAAACCUUUCUCAGCUGUCUCUAACUCAUGGACACGUCAAGAAAUUAAGAGACAUUUCAUGAUGAGCUGGAGUAUUAGGACUAUAUUUGCUGAAUUUAUUUUUUCAUGGUUCAAUGAUGAAACAGUAAAUUCCACAAAUAGAUUUCAAGUUUGGUCAAGCAUUUUGGCUUUUGAACAUUAAUCUCCUGAGCAGUGAGCUCUGUACAUGCCUGGGAAGGUUCAACACAACAAUGACAUGUGACAGCCAAACAUCCAAGCACUGAGCAAUUUAGAUUCUCAUAUCACCAAAUGGGAUUUUGUGGGUGGAGGAGAAGGAAGGACCCGAAGUUAUUUUGCUGUUAUUCUGUUACAGCUCUUUCUUCUCUGUGUUGAUGCUGCCAAAAGCUAUGCUGGCAGCACACUGGAUUUUCAGUGUUUAUAUUAACUCGUCUUAAUCAAGGAAUCCUGACUUAACCUUAUUCUUUCUCACAGACACAGUUCAAUGCUGCAAUGGAGCCUGUGGUGAGCACUGAUUCAAUAGGUGGUUUGCCUCCUUAGACGCAGAAUCACAGGACUAGAAGGAGUGAAAACAACACUUUAUCUCUACAUUGGCUUCAGGGAGGACAGUGCCCAAACCACCUCAAGUACAGAAUAAUUUACUCUCAUUUAGAAGAUCUCCAGACAGAGCUCGAAUGGCUCCCUUGGCAACAAAUUUUAGUUUUAACAAUCUUUGUAGCUUUAUCCUUCCCUCCAGAUAAUGCCAUAACUGUGUACUCUAGAUUAAACGUUUUCUCCUUUUCUGCCCACAGUGCUUUUGAAGCCAAACAUGAUUUCACAUAUAGUGUUGGGUCAUCAUUAAGUCACCUUUCAGAAGUCCCUCUAAAUUAAGGAGUCCUCAUCCUUUCCUUAAAUUUUUCAUGUGUCCUGACCUAUGAGAAUCUGUUAUACGCAUGUUUAAUUUCUAUGGAAUACCUCAUCAUACAACUUGAAAUUCUGAUUGACUAGUGGUUUUUUUCCUGCAUAAGUGCUACUUCAUCUAUGCCUCAGUAACAAACAACAACAAUCACUUAAUGGAAAUGGUGGCAGGCAGAAUUCUAAGAUAGCUGCCAGAUUCCUGCCGCCCCUGGUGUGCAUUCCUUGAUAAUCACUCUCCUUUGAGUGCAGGCAGACCUGUGUGUAUGAUACCACUGCUAUGAUUACAUUGCUCAUCAGGCGACUGUGAGCUAGCCAAAAUGGAGAAUAUUCUGGUGGGUCUGACCUAGCCAGGUGAGCCCGUUUCUGAGUCAUAGAGAUUGAAAGUGUGAGAGGGAUUUGAUGUGAGGGGGAAUUCUCUGUUGCUGGUUUUGAGUAUAAAAGGGGCCAUAUAAUAAAGACUUGAGAGUGGUCACUAGUUGCUGAGAUCCAUCCCUAAUUGAAGCUAGCAAGAAACACUUCUACCAACAACUUGAAGGAAUUUGGAAAAGAAUCCUUCCCUAGUCAAGUCUCUAGAGGGGAAUGCAGCUAACUGACACCUUGAUUUCAGCCUCGUGAGACCCUGAACAGAGAUAUCAACCACUCAGUUGCCUGGACCUCUGACAGAAAUGAAAGAUAAUAAAUGUCUGUUGUUUUAAGCCACUAAGUUUAUGGAAAUUUGUUACACAGCAAUGGAAAACCAAUAUAGGCCCCUAUCCAUGAGUUACAUUGUAGUAAACACCUUUCCUACAUUAUAGAUAUCUCAUCUAACUCCUACAGCAACCCUUGAGGUAAUCACUGUGUCCAUUGUCAGAGCAAGAAAACUGAAGCUCGGCUUCAUAAACAGAAGCAGCAAGGAUUGAUUCCUUAAAUACUGUGAAUUCCACUCUCACUUUAUUUGAAUUUGUGACAGUGAAAUUCACAGUAUUCUUUAAACAUUUUACCCCCAAGCGAUGCUCUUUCCUCUGAAUUGCUUUGCCUGUCCUAAUAAUUUUAUUUAUACAGGCUGAUGCUGGUGACUUGGGAAUAGUAUUUUUAUCCAAACCAUUUGGCUUCUUAUAGGUAUGAGCCACUGAGGGAGCUAUUUUUUAUUUAAUUGUGCUUUGGAAAAAUCAAACGUAGCCUUGAGUUUUAAAAUUAUUAAGCUUACACUUUUUCACAAAAUAGAAAUGGAGUAAUAUAGCUCUGUCCUUCCGUUUUUUAAAGCCAAAAAAUGUAAGAAUGGAAUGUACUGGCUCACUGCUCCCACGGUGUCCUUACCAGCACAACUUACCCCAUCCCUCCCUAGCCCACUCUUGAGGAUACUUUCUUGCCACUGUCAGGCUUACUCCUGCCUCCUAGACUGAGGAAAGAAAAGCCUCCUGGUUUGGAGCUCAUAAUCAAGUCAGCCUUGCUGCAGGGCUCAUUUUAAGCCAGUAUCCUGGACCAGAUAAGGAAGCUGAAGCUUUGAGAAUUUAAUUUGCUCAAGGGGAGGCCAGGACAAGAAAUAAUGAAGAGUCCGAUGUGGCAGGAAUGUAGGAAACAAGUCAAUGAUGGAAGAUAAAUAUGGAGACGUGAUGAAGGCAAAAUUCUGAAGGGUCUUAGAGCCCAUUAUAAGACGUUUGGUUUUUAUGACUAUGCCGUGCAAGACUUGGUAAACUGGUCCCUACCGCAGAGGAUUUUAUACAGAGCACGCUAGUGGCUCACAGGUAGUGUCUUAUUGAAUGUUGAAUUUCCACACUUUUGACUGCAUGAAUCAGUAAAUACUUGGGUUUAUUUUGCCACAUAGAGGUCUACAUUGGUUUGAUACAAGUAAAUAGCAAUAAUGAUAAGAGUCACUGCCAUUAAUGGAGUGUCUCCUUGAUACCAGACACUGUCUCAGAUAACUUGAAUUAACUCUUUAAACCCACAUGGCCCUGGUCCUGAAAGGUGGUAUUAUUCAUUUUUAUAGAUGAGGAAACUGAGACACAGGCAACACUACUUCAACAUUGGCCCCAAACCAUUUUUAUUUGCCCUGAGUAAUUUGCUAGUUCUCCUCUUUCAGUAUGCCAGUCUUCUCUAUCCAUUGGUCUAUAGUUGGUUGCAAUUCGUCUUUGUCACCUGUUCCUGACACUGACCAAUUACUGACCAUAUCUCCCUAUUCUCUGCCAUGUGAUAACCUUUGGUUCUCCCAAAUAAACUCUUUCCUUAUCUCUACUCUAUUGAAACCAACCACCCCUCUCUCCACACAGAAUAUUUCACUGAUUGCCUUGCCCGCUUCUCAAAGGCCCACUUCUCUGUGGAAUGAUGCAGUUGCUAAGAAGAGCUGUUAAUGUCAUGACCUCAAUGAAUAAAAAAGACUUCCUUUUCUCCAUGCCCACUCAAGUAAAAGGCUUCUCUCUGAACUCCUGCUAAUUUUUCAUCAGCAAAGGUGCACAGCCUUUUGGAAGUGAAAUGAUUACUAGUGAAGAAAAAGAAAGAACCUAACACUUAUUUUACAGUAAGUAGCAAGUUGAUCUCCAUUAGGGUCAACCCUCUGGGGUGCUCUGGCCCUUCCCUUUAUGUUCUGAGACAGAUACAUCCCUGAGAAAAUUCUAGUCUCUUCUAAUCCUGGAAUAAUUUAGGGAAGCAAGUCUUGAACUUCUUCCAUCAAAGCCCAAGAAGUAACCAUAAAAGAUGUCUUAAGGGUUCUAGAAACACAUCACCAAGGGGAUUGGAUAAAAAUGUGAAAUUUGUUUAAAACCUGAAAUGUUCACUUUUAAAAAGCAUGCAAAUUGUGACUACCCUUCCACAAUGUAUUUGUUUUACUGCAAAAAUAAUUUAAAUGUCUUUCAGAUUAAAUUAUGAAAAUAUUUACCUCCAAAUUUUGGCAUGAAGUUAAAACUCCUGGAUAAUGUGCUAUGUUUAUUCUGUGGGUUUUUAUAUCCCUGGCACACUGCCAUGUAUCUUGCCGAAUAGCCAAAUAUUAGGAUAUUAUACUACCCUGAUGAUUUUGCUAAAUAAUUAUUAUGCCAAACAAGACAGUAAUUCAAAGAAGGACAAGUGUCUGAACUCUUGUUCUUUCAGAAAGCUUAAGAGUAGUAGUGAGUGCAUCUGCUGCGUGACUCCUGCAAUCUCAGCAUCUGUUUCUAGUUAGAGAGCCAGUGAGUAAAUUGAAUCAGGGUCACUGAAGCAGGUGUUCUUGGUGAAUUGCAGAGCCUCCCAGUGACCACUCUUCAGACAAAACUUCUUAUAAUAGCUUCCUUCCCUGAAUCUUUUGCGAAACAUCAAAUCACAAAGAGAUCUUAUUGUGAGUAUUACCUAAAAUUUUUUCCUGUCUUAUGUAGCAAAGAGGGAAGUCACUGAGUCAGCUUAGAUAUGUGUAUGUGUUCUAAAAAAAAUGAAUGUAUCCAUGUGACUUUUUUUUCUUU
rnacentral:lncRNA from 1 species